GAUGAAUGCUGGCGGCGCGCCUAACACAUGCAAGUCGAGCGGUAACAGGGGUAGUUUACUACCUGCUGACGAGCGGCGGACGGCUGAGUAACGCGUGGGAACAUGCCCCAAAGUGAGGAAUAACUGCCCGAAAGGGUAGCUAAUGCCGCAUAUGAUCUUCGGAUUAAAGGAUUUAUCCGCUUUGGGAGUGGCCCGCGUACGAUUAGGUAGUUGGUGAGGUAAAGGCUCACCAAGCCACGAUCGUUAACUGGUCUGAGAGGAUGAUCAGUCAGACUGGAACUGAGACACGGUCCAGACUCCUACGGGAGCAGCAGUGAGGAAUCUUCCACAAUGGGCGAAAGCCUGAUGGAGCGAC
rnacentral:rRNA from 1 species